AAUUAAUAUCACAGAAAAAAAAAAAUAUAGAUUAGGUUUUAGUGUGUCUCGUGAAAGACUUCCAUCUAUGCUCUAUUCUCUCUCUCAAACUCGAUCCGGAACCCGUUCUGAAACUCGAUCCGAAUUUGUUUGUCUCAUCUUUCACUCUCGAUCUCUCAGUAUCGAUCCUCUCUCAAUAGCAAUCCCUCUCAGUAGCAACUCGCAAUCUCUUGUGAAGUCGUCAAUGGUGGCUUUCGUUUUUCUCAAUCAUGGUGAUUCAUUCAACAACUCUCGGUGAUUCUUAUUCUUUUUCCUGUUGAGAAAGUUGAUCGACAGAGAUCGCUUGAUCAGAAAAGAUGUGUCAUUUUGGUCACCGGUCUUAGUGGUGCAGGGAAGACCACUUUGGCUUGUUCGUUGAACCAGAAGGAGAAGCUUUGUUAUAUUCUUGAUGGUGAUAAACUGUUAAUGUAAGGCAUUGCUGACUGGAAAUUUCUGGAUUUUGUGGUUUCUCUAUUCAUUCUUGUUUUCGACUUUAGCCAAUCAUUCUGGGUUACUAUCCAAAAUUUGGCAUACUAAAUUUGUUGAGGUAAUGUGAUGACAGUGGCUAUGAUAUCUGUUUUAGUUUCUAUAAUUUGUGAAAGCUUCUGCCUGCUAACUCUUGGAAUUGAGAACUCCAGUUCUAGAUUAGAUUAAGCUUUUGUGAUUGUUAGCUGCAGGCAAGGGCGGAUCCACGUUGUACUAAAGAGGGGCAGUUGCCACCGUCAAUUCUAGUACUCUGUUUGUUCUAUAACGUUUUUUUUAACUUAUUAUUAUUCUUCUAAUUCAUACAAACACAAGUGAAAAGCCCAAUUUAUUUUAUUUAAUUUCUCAUUACAAGUCCAUAUUUUUUAAUAACAUUGGGUUACGUACAAGUUAUUAACCAAAUUUUUAGAAAGUUAGUUUAAAAAGAAAACAAAAGUAGAGUUUUUUCAUUAAACUAUACUUCAAUUCCUAAAUUUUUUUUUUAGCUUUUUUCUCUUUUAAUUCUAGUCAAAUUUUUCCCCGGAUAAUCUUUUUUUCUAGAUCCGCCACUGGCUGCAGGAUAAGUAGUCGAAUAUACACUGUGAGAUCAUAACUUCAGGUUAUACCUUCCGAUCUCUGGUUUUUCGAACAAUUUAUGUCUCUGUUAUACCAUUGACUCAUUAGGCUUAUGUGGUUGUUUCAGAUUAUAACCCUUGUUGCUUUUAGUUUCCUUGCUUUAUAUGACUGGAUGUUUCGUCUAGACAAUGUAUGUUGUUGGAAAUGUAGGUCGAACAAGGGUUACAUAAACCUUUUGUCUCAUUUGUUAUGAAAUGAAAAAAAUAAAAGCUUCUUGACACACACCUGAAACCUGCACGUUUUUGCUUUCCAUAGGCAGUCGAAGUUUAUGCCUUGUUGAUAGGCAGUAAAGGAACUUUGAGCUCUCUAAAUAAUAUUUUGACUGGAUGCUUUUCGUAUAAUAUUUGUCAUUGGCAUUCACUAGCCCGUUUCGUAUUUGGUGAUCUGUGAUAGCAUGGAUUGAAGCUUCGUUAUGGUCUAGGUCUAGAAACAAGGAAAAUGCUACAUCAUUUGCCAACCUUCGUGAGUGUCUCUUAGAGUCUUUGUGCAGGUUCAAGGACCAAUACUGAGCGGAAGAACUUGUGGCUGUACUUUAGUAUUUUAAGCUUUACAUUUAUGGAUUCACUUGACUACUCUCUUCAUAUAUUUUGUUUAUUUUAGUAUGUUAAGCUAUAAAUACUUGAUUCUGUGACUACUCCCAUCUGAUAUGUUUCGAUAAUGUAUUUUUUUAAUGGUUUUAAUUUCAUAAGGUAUUUUCUCUC